rnacentral:rRNA from 1 species
UACGUAUGGGGCAAGCGUUAUCCGGAUUUACUGGGUGUAAAGGGAGCGUAGGCGGCAGGGCAAGCCUGAUGUGAAAGCCCGGGGCUCAACCCCGGCCCGCCGUUGAAACUGGCAGUCUCGAGUUGGAGAGAAGUAUGCGGAAUGCGCGGUGUAGCGGUGAAAUGCAUAGAUAUCGCGCAGAACUCCGAUUGCGAAGGCAGCAUGCCGGCUCCACACUGACGCUGAGGCACGAAAGCGUGGGUAUCGAACAGG